rnacentral:rRNA from 1 species
UACGUAGGGCGCAAGCGUUGUCCGGAAUUAUUGGGCGUAAAGAGCUCGUAGGCGGUCUGUUGCGUCCGCUGUGAAAACCCAGGGCUUAACCCUGGGCUUGCAGUGGAUACGGGCAGACUAGAGGUAGGUAGGGGAGAAUGGAAUUCCCGGUGUAGCGGUGAAAUGCGCAGAUAUCGGGAGGAACACCGGUGGCGAAGGCGGUUCUCUGGGCCUUACCUGACGCUGAGGAGCGAAAGCGUGGGGAGCGAACGGG